UACAGAGGUCUCGAGCGUUGUUCGGAUUCAUUGGGCGUAAAGUGUGCGCAGGCGGCUAAGCAAGUCGAGUGUGAAAGCCCCGGGCUUAACUUGGGAAUUGCGCUCGAAACUACUUGGCUGGAGUGUGGCAGAGGAAGGUGGAAUUCCACGUGUAGCGGUGAAAUGCGUAGAGAUGUGGAGGAACACCAAUGGCGAAGGCAGCCUUCUGGGCCAACACUGACGCUCAUGCACGAAAGCGUGGGGAGCAAACAGG
rnacentral:rRNA from 1 species